rnacentral:rRNA from 1 species
CGCCUCUUGAUGAGAUAUAAGAGGUCCAGCCUGCCCAGUGACAAAAUUUAACGGCCGCGGUACCCUGACCGUGCGAAGGUAGCAUAAUCACUUGUUCUUUAAAUAGGGACUAGUAUCAACGGCAUCACGAGGGUUACACUGUCUCCUUUCUCCAAUCAGUGAAACUGAUCUUCCCGUGAAGAAGCGGGAAUACACCUAUAAGACGAGAAGACCCCAUGGAGCUUUAAAUUUCACAGCAACUCAGUCACAUAAUUCUUUAUAACUAACAGAGCCAUGCAUGCCAAUUUUAGGUUGGGGUGACCGCGGAGUAUAAAAAAACCUCCACAUCGAAAAGAACUAAAUCUUUAUUUAAGAGCUACAACUCUAAAAAUUAGUACACUAACGAACAAUGACCCGAUAAUCGAUCAACGGACCAAGUUACCCUGGGGAUAACAGCGCAAUCUACUUCAAGAGCCCAUAUCGACAAGUAGGCUUACGACCUCGAUGUUGGAUCAGGGUAUCCCAGUGGUGCAGCCACUACUAAUGGUUCGUUUGUUCAACGAUUAAAACCCU